rnacentral:rRNA from 2 species
UGACCUGCGGAAGGAU